ACCCGAUAAAUCCCCCCUCGUGCUAAACUUCUAAAUCUUAGAGUUGGGAAACUCCGGUUAAAUUCCGGGACUGUGCCGCAGCUGUGAAGAAAAGGCAACGGGUAAAGGGCAAAAAGCAAAAGAAUGGAAUUUAAUAUGGAAUUUAAUUCAGCCUUUUACUUGCUAGUUUCCAAGUCAGAAUGCCAACGCUAAGAAAUUGAUCAAG
rnacentral:ncRNA from 1 species